CGGGGGGCAGCAGUGGGGAAUAUUGGACAAUGGGCGCAAGCCUGAUCCAGCAAUGCCGCGUGAGUGAUGAAGGCCCUAGGGUUGUAAAGCUCUUUUACCCGGGAAGAUAAUGACUGUACCGGGAGAAUAAGCCCCGGCUAACUCCGUGCCAGCAGCCGCGGUAAUACGGAGGGGGCUAGCGUUGUUCGGAAUUACUGGGCGUAAAGCGCACGUAGGCGGCUUUGUAAGUCAGAGGUGAAAGCCUGGAGCUCAACUCCAGAACUGCCUUUGAGACUGCAUCGCUUGAAUCCAGGAGAGGUCAGUGGAAUUCCGAGUGUAGAGGUGAAAUUCGUAGAUAUUCGGAAGAACACCAGUGGCGAAGGCGGCUGACUGGACUGGUAUUGACGCUGAGGUGCGAAAGCGUGGGGAGCAAACAGGAUUAGAUACCCGAGU
rnacentral:rRNA from 1 species